GAUGAACGCUGGCGGCGUGCCUAAUACAUGCAAGUCGAGCGAACGGACGAGAAGCUUGCUUAUCUGAUGUUAGCGGCGGACGGGUGAGUAACACGUGGAUAACCUACCUAUAAGACUGGGAUAACUUCGGGAAACCGUAGCUAAUACCGGAUAAUAUUUUGAACCGCAUGGUUCAAAAGUGAAAGACGGUCUUGCUGUCACUUAUAGAUGGAUCCGCGCUGCAUUAGCUAGUUGGUAAGGUAACGGCUUACCAAGUCAACGAUGCAUAGCCGACCUGAGAGGGUGAUCGGCCACACUGGAACUGAGACACGGUCCAGACUCCUACGGGAGGCAGCAGUAGGGAAUCUUCCGCAAUGGGCGAAAGCCUGACGGAGCAACGCCGCGUGAGUGAUGAAGGUCUUCGGAUCGUAAAACUCUGUUAUUAGGGAAGAACAUAUGUGUAAGUAACUGUGCACAUCUUGACGGUACCUAAUCAGAAAGCCACGGCUAACUACGUG
rnacentral:rRNA from 1 species